GAUGAACGCUAGCUACAGGCUUAACACAUGCAAGUCGAGGGGUAAUAUUGGCUGAGCUUGCUCAGCCAGAUGACGACCGGCGCACGGGUGAGUAACGCGUAUCCAACCUACCCCAUAGUAGGGCAUAGCCCGUAGAAAUGCGGACUAAUACCCUAUGUUUUCCGAAGCAGGCAUCUAAAUUGGAACAAAGGUUAACCGCUAUGGGAUGGGGAUGCGUCUGAUUAGGCAGUCGGCGGGGUAACGGCCCACCGAGCCAUCGAUCAGUAGGGGUUCUGAGAGGAAGGUCCCCCACAUUGGAACUGAGACACGGUCCAAACUCC
rnacentral:rRNA from 1 species